UACGGAGGGAGCUAGCGUUGUUCGGAAUUACUGGGCGUAAAGCGCGCGUAGGCGGCUUUGUCAGUUAGAGGUGAAAGCCCGGGGCUCAACCCCGGAAUUGCCUUUAAGACUGCAUCGCUUGAAUCCGGGAGAGGUGAGUGGAAUUCCGAGUGUAGAGGUGAAAUUCGUAGAUAUUCGGAAGAACACCAGUGGCGAAGGCGGCUCACUGGACCGGCAUUGACGCUGAGGUGCGAAAGCGUGGGGAGCAAACAGG
rnacentral:rRNA from 1 species